UACAGAGGGUGCGAGCGUUGUUCGGAAUUAUUGGGCGUAAAGGGCGCGUAGGCGGUGCGGUAAGUCACCUGUGAAAACUCUGGGCUCAACUCAGAGCCUGCAGGCGAAACUCCCGUGCUGGAGUGUGGGAGAGGUGCGUGGAAUUCCCGGUGUAGCGGUGAAAUGCGUAGAUAUUGGGAGGAACACCAGUGGCGAAGGCGGCGACCUGGACAGUAACUGACACUCAACUACGAAAGCGUGGGGAGCAAACAGG
rnacentral:rRNA from 1 species